UAUUUGCUUGGCAGUAGCAGUUUAAAAAAUAACGUAUGAAGUUGCUAGCUAGCUCUCCAACGUUAAGUUAAUGGCGGCAGUCUUCCCUGGAUCACCACUCUUUAGCACCCCUCGAUAUGCGGAGCGAGUUUUCACGGUGUUUGUGCAAUGCACACUCGUCUGAAUAAAGUACACCCGUAAGGAAACA